UUAGCGGCGGACGGGUGAGUAACACGUGGGUAACCUGCCUCAUAGAGGGGAAUAGCCUUUCGAAAGGAAGAUUAAUACCGCAUAAGAUUGUAGUACCGCAUGGUACAGCAAUUAAAGGAGUAAUCCGCUAUGAGAUGGACCCGCGUCGUAUUAGCUAGUUGGUGAGGUAACGGCUCACCAAGGCGACGAUACAUAGGGGGACUGAGAGGUUAACCCCCCACACUGGUACUGAGACACGGACCAGACUCCUACGGGAGGCAGCAUG
rnacentral:rRNA from 1 species